AAAUUCUCAACCACAUGCACAUUGAUUGCUGUGGCUUGGAUAUUGGGGGCAUCAUUUGCAGGCCUUGAAAAAGAGGUCUGCUCCCCUGAAAUGUAUUAGCGGUAUCUGCUACUACAGGUGUGAUAAUUUAUCUGUGCCUUUAGUAUUGUGCAAUGGUUAUACUGCUUCUAAACAACACACAUUUUGAUGA
rnacentral:misc_RNA from 1 species